UACGGACGGGGCAAGCGUUGUUCGGAAUCAUUGGGCGUAAAGGGCGCGUAGGUGGUUCUGUAUGUCUACCGUGAAAGCGUACGGCUCAACCGUAUUUUGUCGGUGGAAACUGCAGGACUUGAGGCUGGGAGGGGCUGGUGGAAUUCCCUGUGUAGCGGUGAAAUGCGUAGAGAUGGGGGAGAACACGCGUGGCGAAGGCGGCCAGCUAGACCAGUUCUGACACUGAGGCGCGACAGCGUGGGGAGCAAACAGG
rnacentral:rRNA from 1 species